rnacentral:rRNA from 1 species
CCUACGGGAGGCAGCAGUGAGGAAUAUUGGUCAAUGGUCGGGAGACUGAACCAGCCAAGCCGCGUGCGGGAUGAAGGUACAGAGUAUCGUAAACCUCUUUUGUCAGGGAACAAAGGCGGGGACGUGUCCCCGGAUGAGUGUACCUGAAGAAAAAGCAUCGGCUAACUCCGUGCCAGCAGCCGCGGUAAUACGGAGGAUGCGAGCGUUAUCCGGAUUUAUUGGGUUUAAAGGGUGCGUAGGCGGUCGGUGAAGUCAGCGGUAAAAGCCCGGGGCUCAACCCCGGCCCGCCGUUGAAACUGGCAGUCUCGAGUGGGAGAGAAGUAUGCGGAAUGGGCGGUGUAGCGGUGAAAUGCAUAGAUAUCGCGCAGAACUCCGAUUGCGAAGGCAGCAUGCCGGCUCCACACUGACGCUGAGGCACGAAAGCGUGGGUAUCGAACAGGAUUAGAUACCCCUGUAGUC